rnacentral:snRNA from 1 species
AUCACUUUCCAUAGUUCCAAC